GUUUCCGUGGUGUAGCGGUUAAUCACGUUCGCUUUACACGCGAAAGGUCCCCAGUUCGAAACUGGGGCGGAAACA